AUGGCGUCUUCGACGCCGGCGCCGGCGGCCCCGCUGGAAAAAGGGGGCAGUCCUCCUGGAGAAGGCCUCGAAGGGGGCCUAUUCAGCGUGUGGGAUUGGGAAGAGUUUCGAGCGAGAUCCAAGCGAAUCAUCCACCGAGCGGUGAAUCGGGGACGCUGUCUGGCGUUGGCAAGAAGUAGAGCAGAGGAGAUCCCCAGCAUCCUGGCAGGUCAGUCCCUUCGUAAUAUAGAUGGGGAAGUCUCGAUCCGGUCUAGGAAGGCGAAGAUAUCAACGGAUUUGGCCACGAGUGUUUCUUUGGAAGGUACUGUUCCAGCCUCUGCGGGUGUGUAUGUAGGCCGGCACAUUUGGUAG
rnacentral:rRNA from 1 species